rnacentral:rRNA from 1 species
AACGGACGCUGGCGGCGUGCCUAACACAUGCAAGUCGCACGAGAAAAGGGUAGCAAUACCCUGAGUAAAGUGGCGCACGGGUGAGUAACACGUAGGUAACCUACCUCUAAGACCGGGAUAACUUGUCGAAAGACGGGCUAAUACCAGAUAAGACCACAGUCCUUGCGGGGACAGGGAUCAAAGGUGGCCUCUACAUGUAAGCUACCACUUAGAGAUGGGCCUGCGCACCAUUAGCUAGUUGGCGGGGUAACGGCCCACCAAGGCAAAGAUGGUUAGCUGGUCUGAGAGGAUGAUCAGCCACACUGGAACUGUGACACGGUCCAGACUCCUACGGGAGGCAGCAGUGGGGAAUCUUGCGCAAUGGGCGAAAGCCUGACGCAGCAACGCCGCGUGGGAGAUGAAGGCCUUCGGGUCGUAAAGCCCUGUCGGAAGGAACGAAUGCUCUCAGGGUGAAUAAUCCUGGGAGGUGACGGUACCUUCAAAGGAAGCACCGGCUAACUCCGUGCCAGCCGCCGCCGUAAUAC